GGGAACAUAGCUCAGCUGGGAGAGCGGCGCCCUUACAAGGCGUAGGUCACAGGUUCGAUCCCUGUUGUUCCCACCA
rnacentral:tRNA from 1 species